AAUUGAGAAUUGUAAACAUUUAUGAUAAUUUGUUUGUUCUUUGGUGAUUAAAUAGUCACAAUGCAUAUUUGUAAUCAUGAAAACGAUUAAUGAAAAUAUGCUAGGUAAAUGAAACUGCAUUCUAGUUUUCAAUUCAAACCUGAUCUGAACCUCCAUGUAUAAUGUGCAUUUUCUUAAAAAUUACUAUCAUGAAUUUAUGAUACAGAGAUAGGUCUCAAUGUUAAGGGAUGACCAUUUUACUAUAUUCAAUCUUCACAUAGGACUGUGGACAUGAAAAGAAGGUGGUUGACCACUUUACUAUAUUCAAUAUUCACAUAGGACUGUGGACAUGAAAAGAAGGUGGUUGUACUAUUAAUCUAUUAUAUUCUUUACAAAUAAUGGCAUAAUGAAUGAUAUAGAAUUUAAAUAAUGAAAUAAUUUAAAAAAGAUAUUUGUGUGAUUCUCUUAAUAAUGUUUUAAUAUAUUUAUGUGUGAUGAUCUUAAUAAUGCUGGAUAUAUAUCACAAUGAUAAAAAAUGGCACAUUUAAAGUGAUUAAGUUUAGUUUCUAAUAUAGCUAGUUAUAUGGUAGUUAAAUAUCACAUAAUAUGGUCAGUAGUGGAAGAUUGACAAUAAGUGAAUACUUUCUGAUUUGAGUAUUCUAAUUUGUCAAAAAGGAGAUAAUUCAUACUUUUUUAAAUACAUGAUUACAAUAUAUAAUUUGUUGAAGAAAUGAUCAUUAUUAAAAUACAGUCAUACACCCCUAAA
rnacentral:lncRNA from 1 species